rnacentral:rRNA from 1 species
UACGUAGGGCGCAAGCGUUAUCCGGAAUUAUUGGGCGUAAAGAGCUCGUAGGCGGUUUGUCGCGUCUGCCGUGAAAGUCCGGGGCUCAACUCCGGAUCUGCGGUGGGUACGGGCAGACUAGAGUGAUGUAGGGGGAGACGUGGAAUUCCUGGUGUAGCGGUGAAAUGCGCAGAUAUCAGGAGGAACACCGGUGGCGAAGGCGGGGUCUCUGGGCAGUAACUGACGCUGAGGAGCGAAAGCGUGGGGAGCGAACAGG